UACGGGGGGGGUAAGCGUUGUUCGGAAUUACUGGGCGUAAAGGGCUCGUAGGCGGUCAACUAAGUCAGACGUGAAAUCCCUCAGCUUAACUGGGGAACUGCGUCUGAUACUGGAUGGCUUGGAUUUGGGAGAGGGAUGCGGAAUUCCAGGUGUAGCGGUGAAAUGCGUAGAUAUCUGGAGGAACACCGGUGGCGAAGGCGGCAUCCUGGACCAAUAUUGACGCUGAGGAGCGAAAGCUAGGGGAGCAAACGGG
rnacentral:rRNA from 1 species